rnacentral:rRNA from 1 species
UACGUAGGGGUCGAGCGUUGUCCGGAAUUACUGGGCGUAAAGCGCACGUAGGCGGCUUUGUAAGUUAGAGGUGAAAGCCCGGGGCUCAACUCCGGAAUUGCCUUUAAGACUGCAUCGCUAGAAUUGUGGAGAGGUAAGUGGAAUUCCGAGUGUAGAGGUGAAAUUCGUAGAUAUUCGGAAGAACACCAGUGGCGAAGGCGACUUACUGGACACAUAUUGACGCUGAGGUGCGAAAGCGUGGGGAGCAAACAGG